UUAUGAGCAGCGGAUACCGGACUCAUCCGCAGCCCGCUGCUUCCAGCGGGCCCUCAGCAGUCUCAGCUCUCUUGGGGUUUAACGUUAAGCACUCUGAAAAGGCUUAGAGCACCUGGUCUAGAGUAACGGAGCCUGUUCAGAGUGUCUGCAUGAAUGACUUUUUCUGCCCAUGAGAAGAGCUGAAAUACAUGUUGUGGAAUGUGCAUGGUUUCCACAGCCUUGUUUAAAUUCAAGCAAGGACCUUUUUGCACCAACUUUGCAGGAUUUCAUUUGUGAGUUGUACAUUUAAUUCUCCACAGCAGAUGGUGAUGUGUGGGUGUACUGCUGUAUAUUUGCAACAGAUUCCGUAUCCUACAAAAUUAAUUAAGUGUCUCAUGUGCUGAUUUAAAAUCAGAAUUGUAUUGUUUGUAAAAAGCUAAUUCUUGCACAUCGUUUUGAUAGGACCCGUG